GUGGUGCAUGGUCCAUGUGCAAAUGCCCCUGGGUCACUCACUUUAAAAUGGGGGUCGCCAACUAAAGAGGGCUGUCGGUGAGACUGAGCUGCAGUUCCCACGUUGAACACCCGGCAAGGCAUGGGGGCUGCCAGCUGGGACAUCAUGGUCCACAGGCAGCUGCCUGCGGGUCCCGGACUCUGUGGAUGUGUGUCUGUCACAGGGGACGUGGAGGCACAGAGAGGUCUCAGGGCGGUGAGGACACACAGCAGGCUGUCCAGGGAAACUGCACCUGGCUCUCCCGGCUCCUUCGUUUGUCUGCAGGAGGCCGCGGCUCUUCUGGGCCCUUCUCAAGCCCCAGAUGGCUGCUCUCUUGUCCCCGCCUCAUCCCUAACAGUGUCUGCAUGGCCGCUGCAUCCCACUCCCCCACCAUCGCCUGCUCUGAGCCUGACACCUGGGGAAAUGGAGGCUCCUGUCAGGAGGGUGGCUCAGGGUCACACAGACGGGGGCAGAGCUGGGGUUCCGCAAUGGUGGCGAGUUCCAGAAUCCACACCCUGUCAUGGCUCACCUGGAUCAGCUGCCUCUCCCUCCAGGGGGCACCGGUGAACACCUGGUCUGCUCAAGAACCUUCCAAGGCUCCCACCUACCUGGCUCAGAGCAAAAUAUACAGCUGAUAUACAACUGGUGCUCAAUAAUGGUUGACUGAAUGAAUGUCUGAGCCAGGAGUGGUGGCACAUGCCUGUAAUCCCAGUGACUCGGGAGGCUGAGCAGGAGGAUCACAAGUUCAAAGCCAGCCUCCGCAAUUUAGUGAGGCCCCGAGCAACUCAGCGAGAUCCUGUCUCUAAAUAAAACACCAAAAGGUCUGGGCCGUGGCUCGGGGUGAGGCGCCCCUGGGCUCAUUACGGGUAUAUUUCUGACCCCUUUGAACAGCUCAAGUAAUUGCUUUCAGUUUUCUUUUUUCUUCUUUUCUGUGGGUGUGUUACGGGGGUGGAACCCAGGGGGACUUUGCUACUGGGCUGCAGCCGCCGCUCUUUGGAUUUUGAGGCAGGACCUAGCUACGUUCCCAGGCUAGCCUUGAACUUGCCAUCCUCCUUCCUGGGCCUCCAGAGCAGUCUGGGAGGACAGGCGUGGGCCCCUGUGCCCAGCUCUCUCGGUCUUCCUUUCAUCUUUUCCUUUUUUCUGCAGUACGGGGGCUGCAACCAAGGCUCUACCAUGAGCCCCAGCCCAGCCUCGCAUUUAUUUCUUCUUUCUAGGGAGUGAACUCAGGGGCCCCCACCACUGAGCCCCAUCCCCAGCCCUGUUUUGUAUUUUACUUAGGAGACAGAGUCUCACUGAGUUGCUUAGGGCCUCGCCCUGGCUGAGGCUGGCUUUGAACUCUCAAUCCUCCUGCCUCAGCCUCCCAAGCCGCUGGAAGGACAGACCUGCGCCCUGGCGCCUGGCCCUGUUUUCUUUUCC
rnacentral:lncRNA from 1 species